ensembl:snRNA U2 U2 spliceosomal RNA
AUCACUUCUCAGGCUUUUGGGUAAGGUCAUGUGUAGUAUCUGUUCUUAUCAGUUUAAUAUCUGAUAUGGUCUCUAUUUGAGGACACAAUAUUAAAUGGACUUUUGGAACCAGGAGAUGGAACAGGAACUUGCUCCAUCUAGUCCAUGUAUGGUCCAAAAUAA